AGCGUAGGCGGUUUGGUAAGUCAGAUGUGAAAUCCCGGGGCUCAACCCGGAACUGCAUUUGAUACUGCCGGACUUGAGUAGUGGAGGGGUAGAUGGAAUUCUCGGUGUAGCAGUGAAAUGCGUGGAUAUCGAGAGGAACACUCGUGGCGAAGGCGAUCUACUGGACACUUACUGACGCUGAGGCUCGAAGGCCAGGGUAGCGAAAG
rnacentral:rRNA from 1 species